CUUCCCACCAUCGGCAUCCUCCAACCUUGGCAACCAAUGGCUGACACAGAGGUCUCAAAGCCUGACUCCCUUGGCUCAAAGAGACACGAUUCUGGAAAGACAAGACCACCACCAUCUUUACCAAGACUGCAGCAUAACUCUUCACAGGUCUACCCACUUCUGCUCUUGCUGUUCCACGAUCUCUUUCUCACUUCAUCCCAUGACUGACCUUCCCAAAUAGACAGGAGACACCCAGGGGUCCCGGGUGAAACCCUGCCUUGAAGCCUGAAACAGCCCAAGGCUGAGAAACUGCACUGCGGUCCCGGGAUGAAGCUCGCCCUUUUCGGACUGAUUCUCUCUGAAUAAUGCCCACCUGUGCACUGGAAGGACAGCGCGGAGCCUCGGGAAGUUCAGGACGUUUGCAGGGGGGAGGAGCCCGGUCCCUUCCCUUUUUAGGUGGUGACCUG
rnacentral:lncRNA from 13 species